rnacentral:rRNA from 1 species
GUGUCAGCCGCCGCGGUAAUACGGAGGGGGCAAGCGUUAAUCGGAAUUACUGGGCGUAAAGCGUGCGUAGGCGGCUUGGUAAGCCGGUUGUGAAAGCCCCGGGCUCAACCUGGGAAUGGCAUCCGGAACUGUCAGGCUAGAGUGCAGGAGAGGAAGGUAGAAUUCCCGGUGUAGCGGUGAAAUGCGUAGAGAUCGGGAGGAAUACCAGUGGCGAAGGCGGCCUUCUGGACUGACACUGACGCUGAGGUACGAAAGCGUGGGUAGCAAACAGGAUUAGAAACCCCGGUAGUCC